rnacentral:rRNA from 1 species
AUGCUCUGCUUCGACCGGUCCGGGUCGGCGGACCGGGACUCGAACUCGAACCACUCCAUGCCGCGCCUGCACACGGACUCCAGCUCCUCGGAGCGCGCGCUGUCCUCGCCCUCGCCCGACUUCCCGAGCGACAUGGACUACGCGGAGAGCCAGCACGCCGCCGGCCUCGCCGGGGGAUGGCCGGGCGACGACUGGGGCGGCGUCAUAGACGACGACGGGUUCGUCAUCGACGGCUCUCUGAUCUUCGACCCGCCCUCGCCGGGCGCCUUCGCCCGCGACGCCGCCGCGUUCGGCGACAUGCUCACGUACCUGCAGAAACCGUUCUGA